GGCGACCGGCGCACGGGUGAGUAACACGUAUCCAACCUGCCGAUGACUCGGGGAUAGCCUUUCGAAAGAAAGAUUAAUACCCGAUGGCAUAAUGAUUCCGCAUGGUUUCAUUAUUAAAGGAUUCCGGUAAAGGAUGGGGAUGCGUUCCAUUAGGUUGUUGGUGAGGUAACGGCCCACCAAGCCUUCGAUGGAUAGGGGUUCUGAGAGGAAGGUCCCCCACAUUGGAACUGAGACACGGUCCAAACUCCUACGGGAGGCAGCAUG
rnacentral:rRNA from 1 species